rnacentral:rRNA from 1 species
UACGUAGGGGGCAAGCGUUGUCCGGAUUUAUUGGGCGUAAAGAGCGUGUAGGCGGCCACGCAGGUCCGUUGUGAAAACUGGAGGCUCAACCUCCAGCUGUCGACGGAAACCGUAUGGCUAGAGUCCGGAAGAGGAGAGUGGAAUUCCCGGUGUAGCGGUGAAAUGCGUAGAUAUCGAGAAGAACGCUCGCAGCGAAAGCGAAGCUCUGGGCAAUUUCUGACGCUGAUGCACGAAGGCUAGGGGAGCAAACGGG